ACUCAAAUGAAUUGACGGGGGCUCACACAAGCGGUGGAGCAUGUGGCUUAAUUCGAGGCUACGCGAAGAACCUUAUCCUGGGCUUGACAUGUGCGAAAGCGGCAGGAAGUACCCUGCGGAAACGUUAGGGGAACGGUAUCCAGUCCGGAACCUGCUACAGGUGCUGCAUGGCUGUCGUCAGCUCGUGUCGUGAGAUGUUGGGUUAAGUCCCGUAACGAGCGAAACCCUUGCCUCCAGUUGCCAGCGGGUCAUGCCGGGGACUCUGGAGGGACUGCCGGCGUCAAGCCGGAGGAAGGCGGGGAUGACGUCAAGUCCUCAUGGCCUUUAUGCCCAGGGCUGCACACGUGCUACAAUGGCGUACACAGAGGGAAGCGAGCCCGCGAGGGGGAGCCAAUCCCAAAAAAUACGCCCCAGUUCAGAUCGCAGGCUGCAACUCGCCUGCGUGAAGCCGGAAUCGCUAGUAAUCGCGGGUCAGCAACACCGCGGUGAAUGUGUUCCUGAGCCUUGCACACACCGCCCGU
rnacentral:rRNA from 1 species